CGUUAUAAUCAUUUUCAAUAUUUUAAUGGAAGAAAUAAAUUGAACGUACUCUUUCUUGUAGAAGUAUUUUCCAGCUCUGUUGUUUUAUUUUACAAAAAAUGCUGAGGCCGCUGCCAGGAGUUUAAACAGUUUUUUAUAGUAAGGAUACUGCUUUCAAAGAAUUGUGAUCAAUACCUGAAUCUGUUUCCUUCUUUCUGGCCUCAGGCAGAUCACCAAUAUUCCAGAUUUAUCUUACCUAUCUUUCAACCUUUCAGGUGCCUAAAUUAUUUAUAUGUAGACAUGAAAGAGAAAGACUUCCACGGAGAAACUCUGGCUGACAAAUGUAUGAAUCACCCAACACUGUCCCUCACUUAUUCUUGGAGAAGCCUCAAGUGACUGUUUCUAAAUGAAACAUCUCAAUUAAUUGUCUUGAGUUAGGUCAGGUGAAUCCAGGCUGGACUGUCUUUUAUCCGUAAACAGUACUUACCACUGUACAAUCCUAUCCCUGAAGGGGGCUGCAAGCAAAAUAUGAUAACUGAUGAAAUAAUAACAAUGCCUAGCAAGUAAUAAUAAUGUCUAGUAAAUGACAAAGUUGGUUUAAAAAAUGUUUGGAAGGGUUUUCAUUUUUUUUAGCAUCUGAACAAAGAUCUCAAGUGUACAGAUUCUUUCACAGUCAGGAUUUAAUCUUUAAAGGUAUAUCAAAGUCACUUAAGUAAAGCCUGAAAUUUCACAUUGACAGGAAUUAAAGUCAGAUAGACUUAGAAAAGGGUAACUGUCCACUGGUGUAUCUAAAAUGCUCUGUUCUUGGAAGUGGAACGGAAAAUUAUCAGGAAGGCUUCCCUAGGUGACAACAAUUUGUCCACUCUUUCCUGCCUUCUUCAGGGCCAUAAAUCUUAGCUUUUACAAGUGAAGCUUUCAAAGUUCAGAGGACAGCUCUUAAAAAUUCUGUGAAGGUGGGUCACCUUAUCAGUACUUCUUUCCCAUCUGAGCAGCUGCUACACCAGUUUGCUGUGAAGGCUGAAUAUGCAGGUUCAGAACGCUUGAUUUAUUUUUCUAUCUAUCUGCCUGCCCUGGGUUUGUAGGCCCAUAUAAUAAGAAAGGAUGAUGGCAGAGUUGUAUUCCAAAAAAUGUACUUUUGAGAGUGUUCCUGUUAGGAAAAUGUUCUUUUGCAAAUAUUUACCCCCCUCCCAGGUGAGUUCUAAAAACAAAGGUUCCAAGCUGAACUGGCUGGAGGCCACCCUGCAUUAUCAAUAUGUAUAUAUUCAUGGGAGAGAGGACAUUGCAAUAAUUUACCUUUGAUUUGUGAUAAAGUAGGCACAAACGUGCCCCUGAAAAUGGGCUUGAAAGCUCAGUUUAUCUGCUGUUCUCAAAGAGGAUUUUUCUUUCUGUUUUAGCCUGAAGUCAGGGCAGUUCCUUCUCACAUUAUAGAAAACAAGAACAACUCUAUUCUUAUCCCAGUCUGUCUCCCGGUGGUGGAUGACAAACCAUGCCAGAUCAUCAGCUGUGGCAGAGACCUCCCCAUCCCACAGGCAUUUGCAUCAUUAAGAUAACAAGUCACACAGCUAGAUGUGAGCACAAGUACAUACAUACAUACAGAAGAAAUCUCAGCAAAGCCAAGGAUAUUAAAGCUUUUGUUUAAGUUUGGCCAAAUAUCAAAGAGUUUGAAAAAAAUUCAAAUGAAGGAAAUCCAUAACCAAACCUAAGCCCCAGGCUCCUGAAGUCUUUGAGCUAAAGUUCUCAACCUUCACAUAAGUACUUGGAUGUUUCCUAUCUAAAAUCAAAUUGCUCCCAUCAAAUCCCUCCCAUCCCACCUGUCUAGACAGGGCUUGCAGAGCACAAAUGUAUGUUGUCCUAUACAUACAUACUGUUCUGUUCCCUCACAUGCACAGAUUCUUACAUCUGGUUCUUACAUCUCUGCCAUAUUGGCCAGGUCACUUCCAAUUGCUAUUUUCAAUGGCUAUGUGCCUACACACUGAGUUACUCACGAUGCAAGUGGGUAGAAAGAAGAAAAUACUCUGAAUAAAAUCGAAGAGCUUCCCUGAACAGUGUCCAGCUCUCUACUCCUCAGUACUCCCUAUUGUAUAUUUAUCUACUCAUCUGUUAUUGGGCAUGAAUAUAUCACUGUGCAGAGUAAAAAUAUUAUUUUUCUUCUUUAUUUUUAUCUUAGUUUUCUACUCAUGUUUUAAGUUUGGGCAGUUGAAGAUUUUGUGGGGUCUCAGAAAGGAGAACUAGUUUUACAUUGAGCUUUAUUCUGAGCAGUACUUAUGAGGAUGAAAUGGCAUUUGGAAAGGAGGAACCAAAAUCCAAAGAAGUAAUUCACAGAAAGAUCCCAACAAUGGAGCAAAGUGCUAUUCCAGUGGAGCAGAAUCCAGCACAGACUUUGAUCCCUUCAGGCAAUGAAUCGCUUCUCUUUUUAUGUUGAAGUGCCCAGCAUAUUUAGAAGGAAGAGUUUAGAAUAAUGACUAUUGAUGUUGCUACCACACAGGCAAUGCAAACUGAAUAGAGCAACUUUGGAGACGAAUGUUCCUGAACCAGCAGGGUCACCAGCAGUGUGUUAGUAUCUGGCAGACCUACAGUAUAGUACAUGGACAUGCAUUUCCAGGGCAACCAGCCCCACCCAAAAUUACCUGUUAUGUAACCAGGUGAGAUAAAUUAAGAUCAUCUCCAACAUCGCCAUCUCCUGACUUUGAAUGAUAGUGCAUGUUGUUUCUGUGACAUUUGGCAUUCAAGAAAUAAUAAAAAAAAUGGCACUCGAGGUUUCUGUUCUUCUGAAUUUAAAAAAAAAAAUAAAUCAGUUUUGCACUGAUUUUUUCUUCUUUGUAUUCUGAAAUGUUUUGUAGCUGAUUAUCAAAAAAUUUCUUUUUGAGUUUGUAGUUAUUGUUUAUGGAAGACCCCAUUAACUCUUACAGGAUAGGUGGGCAAUUGAAAAUCUGUCAGCAAUUUAUAAAGAAGUUCAAGAAACUUUGAGCACUGUAAGCUCUAGAAAGAGUUCUGAGUAACUCUUUAGCAACCUCUGCAAAGUUCCUCUCUUCUGAAAAAUGAAUAUUUACCCAGGACAAGAGAAGACCGAAGCCUGAUCAAGUCAUGGAAAUCUCCCUGCUGACUACACUGGGCUCUUGCAUGUACAAAUAGAGCAGUCAUCUCCAUCCACUUACAGUCCUGCACUGACAUUCACUUGAACUGUGAAAUGGCUAGCAUUUAAAAGUUGUCACUUCUAUGUGAAUACUGCUGUGCCUCAGGUUUUAUGAUACUGAGAGUGUUGUUAAAUAUUUGAACAAUAUUGCAAUUGUUUCUAUCUGUUGAAUUUAUUUGAAAACUAUUAUCUGUGACUUGUUAUUAUGCCAUGAAAAUAGAUGAUAUUUUAGGUGAAGUGUGCAACAUUGAAGUUGAGUAUUUUUUUCUCCUAGGUACAUUGCUAAGCUUGUUUGCUAAGUUUUUGUCUUCUCUGAAACAAUUAUUCCAACCCUCUUUUUUUUCUCCCUAAUCCAUGCUGCCAAUAAGAAAAGAAAC